rnacentral:SRP_RNA from 1 species
GUUGGGUAUAGUGGUGUAUACCUGUAAGCUAAACUUCUGAGCAACAGAAUGUAGGACGGUAUGAGUUAUAAGACUGUGAUUAAGGAUUUUCUUAUGUAGAGAGUCGGUCUUAUUCAAGUACUGAGUUAACAUUCGUUGAGGGAUGUAGGUCCUUUGACAAGGUUAUUAACGAAGUGGGCAACGCGUGAGGCUGGUAACAGAGCAGCGAAAACCAUUCGCUUAGUACGGUGAUUGAGAUAGCUGGCUUGAGUAAGAACCUUCUUCUGCUUAUAACAAUAGUUAUCGAACGAAAUUCUUU